UGGGGAAUAUUGGACAAUGGGCGCAAGCCUGAUCCAGCCAUGCCGCGUGAGUGAUGAAGGCCCUAGGGUUGUAAAGCUCUUUCGCCAGGGAAGAUAAUGACGGUACCUGGUAAAGAAGCCCCGGCUAACUUCGUGCCAGCAGCCGCGGUAAUACGAAGGGGGCUAGCGUUGUUCGGAAUUACUGGGCGUAAAGCGCACGUAGGCGGAUCGUUAAGUCGGGGGUGAAAGCCCGAGGCUCAACCUCGGAAU
rnacentral:rRNA from 1 species